rnacentral:lncRNA from 1 species
UCUAAAUGGGACAUCAGGGUUAUACUGCUUUGAUGGCGUCUCAAGCAACUAUCGCCAUAAUGAACUGAUAGUUAGCAUCCUCUUCCGUGCUCAAAUCUGUAAAUUUCAAAAAAAUCAUAUAUGAUAUACCCAAUUAAAGCUAAAAUAGAAUUUAAAAAUAUAAAUUUUUAAUUCAUAUAUCUAUGAUAAUACAAGAUAACCACCAAUC